rnacentral:rRNA from 1 species
GACGAACGCUGGCGGCGUGCCUAAUACAUGCAAGUCGAACGCUUCUUUUUCCACCGGAGCUUGCUCCACCGGAAAAAGAGGAGUGGCGAACGGGUGAGUAACACGUGGGUAACCUGCCCAUCAGAAGGGGAUAACACUUGGAAACAGGUGCUAAUACCGUAUAACAAUCGAAACCGCAUGGUUUUGAUUUGAAAGGCGCUUUCGGGUGUCGCUGAUGGAUGGACCCGCGGUGCAUUAGCUAGUUGGUGAGGUAACGGCUCACCAAGGCGACGAUGCAUAGCCGACCUGAGAGGGUGAUCGGCCACAUUGGGACUGAGACACGGCCCAAACUCCUACGGGAGGCAGCAGUAGGGAAUCUUCGGCAAUGGACGAAAGUCUGACCGAGCAACGCCGCGUGAGUGAAGAAGGUUUUCGGAUCGUAAAACUCUGUUGUUAGAGAAGAACAAGGAUGAGAGUAACUGUUCAUCCCUUGACGGUAUCUAACCAGAAAGCCACGGCUAACUACGUGCCAGCAGCCGCGGUAAUACGUAGGUGGCAAGCGUUGUCCGGAUUUAUUGGGCGUAAAGCGAGCGCAGGCGGUUUCUUAAGUCUGAUGUGAAAGCCCCCGGCUCAACCGGGGAGGGUCAUUGGAAACUGGGAGACUUGAGUGCAGAAGAGGAGAGUGGAAUUCCAUGUGUAGCGGUGAAAUGCGUAGAUAUAUGGAGGAACACCAGUGGGCGAAGGCGGCUCUCUGGUCUGUAACUGACGCUGAGGCUCGAAAGCGUGGGGAGCAAACAGGAUUAGAUACCCUGGUAGUCCACGCCGUAAACGAUGAGUGCUAAGUGUUGGAGGGUUUCCGCCCUUCAGUGCUGCAGCUAACGCAUUAAGCACUCCGCCUGGGGAGUACGACCGCAAGGUUGAAACUCAAAGGAAUUGACGGGGGCCCGCACAAGCGGUGGAGCAUGUGGUUUAAUUCGAAGCAACGCGAAGAACCUUACCAGGUCUUGACAUCCUUUGACCACUCUAGAGAUAGAGCUUCCCCUUCGGGGGCAAAGUGACAGGUGGUGCAUGGUUGUCGUCAGCUCGUGUCGUGAGAUGUUGGGUUAAGUCCCGCAACGAGCGCAACCCUUAUUGUUAGUUGCCAUCAUUUAGUUGGGCACUCUAGCAAGACUGCCGGUGACAAACCGGAGGAAGGUGGGGAUGACGUCAAAUCAUCAUGCCCCUUAUGACCUGGGCUACACACGUGCUACAAUGGGAAGUACAACGAGUCGCAAAGUCGCGAGGCUAAGCUAAUCUCUUAAAGCUUCUCUCAGUUCGGAUUGUAGGCUGCAACUCGCCUACAUGAAGCCGGAAUCGCUAGUAAUCGCGGAUCAGCACGCCGCGGUGAAUACGUUCCCGGGCCU